GGAGGUGGCGAGCGUUACUCGGAUUUAUUGGGUGUAAAGGGCAGGUAGGUGGCCUAGCAAGUGGGGAGUGAAAUCCUGCGGCUUAAUCGCAGAACUGCUUUCCAAACUACUAGGCUUGAGUGUGAGAGAGGAGAAUGGAACUCCUGGUGUAAGGGUGAAAUCUGUAGAGAUCAGGAGGAACACCAUUGGCGAAGGCGAUUCUCUGGAUCACAACUGACACUGAACUGCGAAAGCUUGGGGAGUGAACAGGAUUAGAUACCCUGGUAAUCCUAGCCGUAAACGAUGAGUACUGGGUGUUUCCUGUAACAGGGAGGCGCCGAAGUUAACACAUUAAGUACUCCACCUGGGGACUACGGCCGCAAGGUUG
rnacentral:rRNA from 1 species